GAGGACUUCCUGAACGCAGCAUUGCAAACUCACCUGUGAAACACCGCCGCGGCUAAUUAGCAACACCUGGUGACAAUAUGGCUGCGAAGGAAACCAAACAAUAACGUUAAAUGAAGGAAAAGUCGUUUAUUCAAGCGGCAAUUCAUUUUAUUGUCGAAUAUGUUGGUGGUCAAGUACACAAAACUGUGUUUAACCCUCGGACAUAGCGUUAACUUUGGACAAGUCAUAAAUGCGCCGAGCUUGAACAGCGUCUUUGCCCUGGAUAAGACAUUGCAACCCUUGAACAUCAAAGAAAUCGAAGACACCGUCCUAAAGAUGACUAAAAGCAACAUUUUCCUCCACUGGGUUCCCUGAGGGGCUGUCCUUCCCAAAGCCUUCCAUAUACCACAGCCAUCAUCAUGCUCCACCAUUCCCAUCUGCCAGUCACUACUCACACAUUUCAUAUUUAAUAAACAAUUUAUUCGUAUCUCA